rnacentral:rRNA from 1 species
CAGAGGGUGCAAGCGUUAAUCGGAAUUACUGGGCGUAAAGCGUGCGUAGUCGGCUUUUCAAGUCGGGUGUGAAAGCCCCGGGCUCAACCUGGGAAUUGCAUUCGAUACUGGAUCGCUAGAGUUCGGCAGAGGGAAGUGGAAUUUCUGGUGUAGCGGUGAAAUGCGUAGAUAUCAGAAGGAACAUCAGUGGCGAAAGCGACUUCCUGGACCAGAACUGACGAUCAGGCACGAAAGCGUGGGAGCAAACAGGAUU